ensembl:lncRNA
AUGACUCCGAUCCCAGGAUGGAUCUCAACCUGGACACAAGAAGACUGGGAGGCAGUCAGGGAUGGAGACACAGAUGUGGAACUGGACAGCGUAGAUCUGGGGAGGGACAGCGAAGUGGCACAUGGAGAACUGGACCUGGACUGCGGAGACCCUGGAAGGGCCGGUAAUGCUUUGGUAGGCUCCACCCUGGAUCUCUUAGGAGGUGCAGCCGAAUCUAUUAUAUUCCUCAAACUCAGUAGGAGUCCUGGCACAUCUAGACACAGUUCAUCAAAAACAAAUAAUUUAUUAUUAUCACUCCUUUAGGACAAUACAGCCAAUUCAGCCUACAGUCAUUUAGAGAAAGGUUUAUUACUUGUCUGAUGGUUCAGUAUUUGAUAUGAAUCAAUGAUACCUUGAAGAACAAUCUCCUUCAACUUCGCGUUCUCUUCUUUCAGGUCCUUGAUCUCCUGCUUUAAUUCAGCCACAGUCUGAGUCGGACUGUUGUGAUUAUCUGAAGAAGGCUGUGAUUGACCGUAUAGCCUAAGAAACUCUUCUGCAGGGUCUAUCCUCCUGGGAGCCUUUGACUUCUGGGUGUCAAGAGAUAGGAAAAAAAACAAAACCAAAAUAAAAAGACAGCUAUUGCUGGUGUUGAGCAGCUAUUAUGUACAAGAGAAUCAAUAUCAAGAAUCCUUACAGAUUUAGCUAGAUAGUAAUGCCUAUUACACAAUAGUGCCAACUCCUUACACAUUCUAUGUACAUUGUACCACUGGGAAAUAUGGUCAUUGCAUAGGAGCUAAAAGUAAAUUAACGUCACCUUUGCUUGCUGAGACUGAGUUUCAAUAUCAGUUUAGCAAUCUGAAUCGUCCCCAUAUUUUUGGGGGGCCACUGAGGCCCUCUUUGUCAGCUCUGUAGGUUCUUCUUCCUUCAGCAGUGAGUUCAGUUUACGGAUUGUCUCAAAACGAGUAGCUAGAAAACAAAAGCAAAUAGACCAGAGUUAUACUCAAACAGCUGAUUACACCAGAUCACCCUCUUGUAACACUAAGACUGAAAAUAUACGUGAAGUUAGUGAUGUGUUGUGUGCUCCAAAAUAAGUGCAAGCACUGCAUGCAUGCUCUGUAUGCAUUGCUCAUAUACUUGUAUACUUGCAUACCCUAUGUAUACUCUACGCAAAUAUUCAGGGGGUUAUGCAUAAGGUAUACAUGACACCUGGCAUAAACAACUAUUCAAAAAGCUUUAUUCAACCUGGUUUCAACUGUCAAAGUAUUAUUAUCUCAUCUCAUUUUUAACAUAGUUACAUUUUUAGUUCAUUUUUGACAUAGUUGUCAGAUGACAUACUGAUUGUGGCACUUACAGUGUCAAAACCACAUAGUACUUGUGUUUGUGUGAAGUUAGUAACUCUUAACUUACCACCAACAAAAAUGACAGUGCCUCUGUAGUGAGGCCAGCCUCCUCAUUGUUUCCUCCCAUGGCGCCAUUCAAUUACGGCUGAGUAGGUGGCAAAGGGAUUCCCAUCCUGGUCCAUCUUGGAAUCAUCAUACCCCCUUUUGGCAUCAGUUUUUAUGUCACUGAGCUUCCCAAAAUCCUCCCCUUCACUCCACCGCACCACUGCAAACUUCCUCUCCAUGUGUUCUAAAAUUAUCAAAUAAAUAAAAAUCAUUGUUUGGUUUAGCAAUCAAUAAAUGACUGGCAGACAGAAACUGUUAUUAAGCUAACAUUUAACAUCAGUAUUCUGACAAAAAACACUUCUAAUAUUAGGUAUCUGCAGGGUUAGGCAAGUUAUAUUUAAGACUUUAUUGCCACUCAAAAUGAAAUUUAAGACCCAUUUUGAAUAUAUUGUGAUACACAAUUCUGUUGUCUAAAUUGAUAAUAUCAAGCACAUAUUAAACACAUUUCUUUCUAAAUUUGAUUUGAAAUAUCCAAAGGAAUAUAAUCUGAAAAUUGCAGAUUAGGUUAUUGAUAGGUUAAGUGAUUUAAUAGAGGUGAGCAGAUAAUGUGAUAUGUCUUUAUGAUUCUUGUGAUAUUAAUUUCUUUCAUAUAACGUUAGCCCAGUCCUACCUGACAGGUGCCUCUAUAGCCUACAACCAACCAGAAAGGGUCCGGUAGGUCCGGUGUUUCCUAUUAACAGACAGUAACGUUAGAGAAAUACUGAAAGCACAUUAACGUUAACUUACUACAAGAUGUUCUUGAACAUGAAUAUUUUGGCCAAAGGCUGUGCAACCAAAUGUAGUAAACAUAUAAAUAAUCAUUCUAUUUACUGGUUUAAAAACCUUAGAAUCAAAAACAAAGGUUCUGUAAUAUUGACAUGAAAAUAAAAUGGUGGAGACCAAAUAUUUAUGCAGACAUUAAAAAAAAUGUUAACUUUGCCAUGUUAUUUUUGCCUUCUGCCAAUGCGUUAAUUUACUGGAUCUGUUAUAAUCUAAGACUCAUCCAACGUUACACUUGUGUUAUUAUCAUAUAAAUAUUAUUAUAAAUAAGGAUAAUUAACGUUAACUUAACUAAUCUUGCUAAAAUGCACCACUUUGGGUAAUAUAAGCUGAAAGUGACUGUGCAGCUAACUUAAUUUAGCUAACUAACGUUACAACUGUAACAUGUAAUGUUAAACCAGUUAAUGUUCGCCAUUAAAAAAAUCAGUUGUUACUUAAAUAAAUGUAUUUCAAAUUUAAGCUCAAACAUUGCAGCUUAAAUCGUAAUGUUAACUCUAGAUUUACCAAACUAUGUCGUCUGUUGGCCGUUCGUCGGUCGUGAUUCAAAAGAUGCCUUCUUUUUCAACCUUCUACUUUUUUCCCUCCAUACGGUGUUCUGCAGUGUACUCGCUCUCUCUCUCUCUCUAUCGCUAUCUAUCUAUCUAGCGGCCCUGCGCAUGCGCAUUACCCACAACCUCGCACUGCUCUGUAGUCAUUAUUUUCGAGGAACGGGAACGUUGGCUAGCUGAAGUUUCCACUAACUUUCUAGCGGUAAAAUGGUCACAUCGUGUUGACAAUGAAAUUAGCUAGCUUCACCAGCAACCCUAAUAGGCAUUAAUACUGGUAACUAUGUCGAAAAGAAAGCACAACGUUACUGCUAACACAAAAGAAAAGGUUUGGUUGAGAGAAAAUGUUCCUAUACGUACUUUGACAAGAUGGAAAAAAAGGUUUGUACUAAAUUACACCUGUUUCCUAAUCCAGCUCGUAACUUCUGGUUAAAGGAGAACUCCGGUCAAUUUUAACAUUGAGCUAAUUUUUUUUUGUACAUUUGGAGUGCUGUCAGUACAGAGAACAACGACAAAAAUCGGUGUUUCCUACACCGUGUUAUAUUCUUUUUAAAAUUUGCACCUUGUUGACUUCAAUGGGCACGUUUAAACCUGUAUUAAUAAAAUUGAUGAUAAUUCUGCCCGCGAAAAUACCUGAAAAACUUACUGUUUUCAGUCGAAGUCCACAGUAGUCAAUAGUCGAGUUCACCCGCGCGAUCAUUGGUAACUAAGCAAUUCAAGAGAACGCGCCUGAACUCGACAAUCGACUACUGUGGACUUCGACCGAAAACAGGAAGUUUUUCAGGUAUUUUCGCUGGCAGAAUUAACAUCAAUUUUAUUAAUAUCUUUCACAUCUACUGCAGUCAGAUUCACUGUGUUCACUCUAAAUAAACUCACUCACAUGGCUGUGCACUUGUAAUGACACAUUGAGGAUGUUAAAGCAGGCUAAACGCAGGCGUGCCCCAUUGAAGUCAACAGGGUGCAAAUUUUAAAAAGAGGAUAACAUGGUAUUGUGUAUGAGGAGAUGUCGUCACGACACAGCGCCCCGCCCCCAGAGACCGCGUCUCCUCCCCUUUCCGCCAUCUUGGGAGUAUACCCGCCAGCAAAGUUCAUUGUUUACAUUGGUAGUAGAGGA